rnacentral:rRNA from 1 species
UUCCCUUAGUAACUGCGAGUGAAGAGGGAAGAGCUCAAAUUUAAAAUCGGGCAUCUGUCCGAGUUGUAAAUUAGAGAAGUGUUAUCUGCGCUGAACUGUGCAUAAGUCUCUUGGAAAAGGGCAUCAUAGAGGGUGACAAUCCCGUCUUUGGCACAGACUCUCAGGGCUUUGUGAUGCACUCUCAAUGAGUCGAGUUGUUUGGGAAUGCAGCUCUAAAUGGGUGGUAAAUUCCAUCUAAAGCUAAAUAUUGGCGAGAAACCGAUAGCGCACAAGUACCGUGAGGGAAAGAUGAAAAGUACUUUGAAAAGAGAGUUAAACAGUACGUGAAAUUGUUGAAAGGGAAACACUUGAAGUCAGACAUGUCCUUCAGAAAUCAACCUGACCGUCAGGUCUGGUGCACUUUCUGUUUGGAUGGGUCAGCAUCAAUUUUGAUCAUUGGACAAAGGUUAAGGGAAAGUGGCAUCUUUGGAUGUGUUAUAGCCCUUGGUCAUAUACAAUGGUUGGGAUUGAGGAUUGCAGUGCUUUCGGGUACUAAGGAUGCUGGCAUAAUGGCUUUAAUUGACCCGUCUUGAAACACGGACCAAGGAGUCUAACAUACAUGCGAGUGUUUGAGUGGAAAACUCAGACGCACAAUGAAAGUGAAAGUUGAGAACCCUGUCAUGGGGUGCAUCGACGCCCGGACCUGACCUUUUGUGAUGGACCUGCGGUAGAGCAUGCAUGUUGGGACCCGAAAGAUGGUGAACUAUGCCUGAAUAGGGUGAAGCCAGAGGAAACUCUGGUGGAAGCUCGUAGCGAUUCUGACGUGCAAAUCGAUCGUCAAAUUUGGGUAUAGGGGCGAAAGACU